rnacentral:rRNA from 1 species
GGGGAAUAUUGCACAAUGGAGGAAACUCUGAUGCAGCAACGCCGCGUGAGUGAUGAAGGUUUUCGGAUCGUAAAGCUCUGUUGCCAGGGAAGAACGUCUUCUGGAGUAACUGCCAGGAGAGUGACGGUACCUGAGAAGAAAGCCCCGGCUAACUACGUGCCAGCAGCCGCGGUAAUACGUAGGGGGCAAGCGUUGUCCGGAAUUAUUGGGCGUAAAGCGCGCGCAGGCGGCUGUUUAAGUCUGGUGUAUAAUCCUGGGGCUCAACUCCGGGUCGCACUGGAAACUGGAUGGCUUGAGUGCAGAAGAGGAGAGUGGAAUUCCACGUGUAGCGGUGAAAUGCGUAGAGAUGUGGAGGAACACCAGUGGCGAAGGCGACUCUCUGGGCUGUAACUGACGCUGAGGCGCGAAAGCGUGGGGAGCAAAC